rnacentral:lncRNA from 1 species
AAUAUUAAAUAUUUAUGAAAUAUACUCAAAAUAAUUAAAAACUAUUUUUCAGACUUUAAAAUAAUUUUUCAUAAUUUAUUUGGUAUUUUUAAUAAUUAAAAACUAAUUUUUCUAAUUUUUAAAUUAAUUUCCGGAAAAUCAGAAAUUAAAAUAAUUAAAACUGUCGCUAAAGGCCCCUAUAGUGACAGAAGUGUCGCUAUAGGUGUUCUUGAGCCUACCCAGAUCUUCAUAAGGCAGAACCGAGUGGCCUACUUUGACCGUGAAUAACUCUCUCAUCUUAACGAAUUUGGACAAUCUAUAAAUUGGGUCUUGUAGAGGAAAUACAAGACUACAAGAUCCAACAAUCAUAACCUCUAAACAAACAUCAGAUCUGGGAUAAAUCAGCCAUCAAAGUAGCUACCAAAGCUGUUCUUCACGAAGAACAGUUCGAGGUGCCUACUUUGGACCUCUAUAACUUGAUGAUCGUGUAACGUUUAUGUGAUCUAUCAAUUCCAGUGUGUAGACAACAUGUAGGACUACAACUCUAACACUUAACAUCAUCAUAACAACAAGAAAUCAAGCAUCUAAAGUAUGGUCAAACCUUGUCAGAAAAAUUAACACUUAGAAAAUUCUGGGCUGCCCAGAAUUUUCUGGUCAAUGCCGGUCAACCCACUUUGACCUUAAAUAACUCUUAAUCCGUAAUAUAUAUGGACCUGAUUCUUUUUGGAGGUUAAAUACCACAUAACAAGCUACACAUAUCAACCUUUAGAACACAAAACACAUUAAAGAUGACCGAGAUAUAAGGCCUGAC